CCUUUCUGCUUGCUGUACAGACUGCUGCUGUGUCAGCUGGCCAAAUCGCUCUGCAACCUCUCUUAUUAGAUGAAUGAUUCAUUGGCCAGUAAAAGGAGCCUCCCAGCUAGUCUUUGAGCAGGAUUGAAGGUUUCCUUCAAGAAAUACAAGCCAGAAAACUGCUCCAGAAGAUACAGGUGUGUUCUAUUUUGUUUAAAUGGCAGUCUACAAUAAAGAGUUUCCAAGGCCCUUUCCACUGGAGGUUGUUUGAGAGAGAAGGGGGAGAAUAAGGACAAUUCCUGUUCCCUAGAAAUAGGGGAAACAUUCAGUCUACUGGAGAAUGAAAUCCUCAGCAGGAGGCAGCCUGUGCCAGGCUGACCCAGUCCUUGCCAUCCAAUGCUGAGUCAGGAUUUGUGACAGCACUCAGGUGGAAGGGUGUCUCUUUGCCAAGCCAGCUCUUAGAGCCUCAGACAGCAAGCAGCUUCUGUCUAGGCAAACAUGAAGUAAUGAUAGAGACCUGGAGUGGAAGAUGAAUUGCACUGUGUCAGAGAAAUGUCUGUCACCAGUACAUCAGGAGCUGGAGGCAAAGAAGAAUUCUGGACAGUUUUGAAACCAAACAAUGUGAAAACAUUCAAAAUUGAAAAGUCGAAUUUGAUGUGUGAUCAUUUACUAGAUUUCUAUUACCAAAACAAUUAUCCUGGGUGUAGUUUCUUUGAUGUUAUAAAGGUUUAAUUUUACUUAAGGCA